CCUACGGGUGGCAGCAGUGGGGAAUAUUGCGCAAUGGGCGAAAGCCUGACGCAGCGACGCCGCGUGAGGGAUGAAGGUCUUCGGAUCGUAAACCUCUGUCAGCAGGGAAGAACGGUCACUGUGCUAAUCAGCAGUGAAUUGACGGUACCUGCAAAGGAAGCACCGGCUAACUCCGUGCCAGCAGCGGCGGUAAUACGGAGGGUGCGAGCGUUAAGCGGAAUUACUGGGCGUAAAGCGCUCGUAGGCGGUAUGGCAAGUCAAGGGUGAAAUCCCCGGGCUCAACGUGGGAACUGCCUUUGAAACUGGCAAGCUGGAGUGCGUGAGAGGUUAGUGGAAUUCCAGGUGUAGGAGUGAAAUCCGUAGAUAUCUGGAGGAACAUCAGUGGCGAAGGCGACUAUCUGGCACAUAACUGACGCUGAGGAGCGAAAGCGUGGGUAGCAAACAGGAUUAGAUACCCCAGUAGUC
rnacentral:rRNA from 1 species